UGAAUAUGGGGGGACCAUCCUCCAAGGCUAAAUACUCCUGACUGACCGAUAGUGAACCAGUACCGUGAGGGAAAGGCGAAAAGAACCCCGGCGAGGGGAGUGAAAAAGAACCUGAAACCGUGUACGUACAAGCAGUGGGAGCCUCUUAAUGGGGUGACUGCGUACCUUUUGUAUAAUGGGUCAGCGACUUAUAUUCUGUAGCAAGGUUAACCGAAUAGGGGAGCCGAAGGGAAACCGAGUCUUAACUGGGCGUUAAGUUGCAGGGUAUAGACCCGAAACCCGGUGAUCUAGCCAUGGGCAGGUUGAAGGUUGGGUAACACUAACUGGAGGACCGAACCGACUAAUGUUGAAAAAUUAGCGGAUGACUUGUGGCUGGGGGUGAAAGGCCAAUCAAACCGGGAGAUAGCUGGUUCUCCCCGAAAGCUAUUUAGGUAGCGCCUCGUGAAUUCAUCUCCGGGGGUAGAGCACUGUUUCGGCAAGGGGGUCAUCCCGACUUACCAACCCGAUGCAAACUGCGAAUACCGGAGAAUGUUAUCACGGGAGACACACGGCGGGUGCUAACGUCCGUCGUGAAGAGGGAAACAACCCAGACCGCCAGCUAAGGUCCCAAAGUCAUGGUUAAGUGGGAAACGAUGUGGGAAGGCCCAGACAGCCAGGAUGUUGGCUUAGAAGCAGCCAUCAUUUAAAGAAAGCGUAAUAGCUCACUGGUCGAGUCGGCCUGCGCGGAAGAUGUAACGGGGCUAAACCAUGCACCGAAGCUGCGGCAGCGACACUAUGUGUUGUUGGGUAGGGGAGCGUUCUGUAAGCCUGUGAAGGUGGCCUGUGAGGGUUGCUGGAGGUAUCAGAAGUGCGAAUGCUGACAUAAGUAACGAUAAAGCGGGUGAAAAGCCCGCUCGCCGGAAGACCAAGGGUUCCUGUCCAACGUUAAUCGGGGCAGGGUGAGUCGACCCCUAAGGCGAGGCCGAAAGGCGUAGUCGAUGGGAAACAGGUUAAUAUUCCUGUACUUGGUGUUACUGCGAAGGGGGGACGGAGAAGGCUAUGUUGGCCGGGCGACGGUUGUCCCGGUUUAAGCGUGUAGGCUGGUUUUCCAGGCAAAUCCGGAAAACCAAGGCUGAGGCGUGAUGACGAGGCACUACGGUGCUGAAGCGACAAAUGCCCUGCUUCCAGGAAAAGCCUCUAAGCAUCAGGUAACAUCAAAUCGUACCCCAAACCGACACAGGUGGUCAGGUAGAGAAUACCAAGGCGCUUGAGAGAACUCGGGUGAAGGAACUAGGCAAAAUGGUGCCGUAACUUCGGGAGAAGGCACGCUGAUAUGUAGGUGAAGCGACUUGCUCGUGGAGCUGAAAUCAGUCGAAGAUACCAGCUGGCUGCAACUGUUUAUUAAAAACACAGCACUGUGCAAACACGAAAGUGGACGUAUACGGUGUGACGCCUGCCCGGUGCCGGAAG
rnacentral:rRNA from 1 species